GGCUUGAACUGACCUAGCGGCGGACGGGUGAGUAAUGCUUAGGAAUCUGCCUAUUAGUGGGGGACAACAUCUCGAAAGGGAUGCUAAUACCGCAUACGUCCUACGGGAGAAAGCAGGGGAUCUUCGGACCUUGCGCUAAUAGAUGAGCCUAAGUCGGAUUAGCUAGUUGGUGGGGUAAAGGCCUACCAAGGCGACGAUCUGUAGCGGGUCUGAGAGGAUGAUCCGCCACACUGGGACUGAGACACGGCCCAGACUCCUACGGGAGGCAGCAGUGGGGAAUAUUGGACAAUGGGGGGAACCCUGAUCCAGCCAUGCCGCGUGUGUGAAGAAGGCCUUUUGGUUGUAAAGCACUUUAAGCGAGGAGGAGGCUACCGAGAUUAAUACUCUUGGAUAGUGGACGUUACUCGCAGAAUAAGCACCGGCUAACUCUGUGCCAGCAGCCGCGGUAAUACAGAGGGUGCAAGCGUUAAUCGGAUUUACUGGGCGUAAAGCGCGCGUAGGUGGCCAAUUAAGUCAAAUGUGAAAUCCCCGAGCUUAACUUGGGAAUUGCAUUCGAUACUGGUUGGCUAGAGUAUGGGAGAGGAUGGUAGAAUUCCAGGUGUAGCGGUGAAAUGCGUAGAGAUCUGGAGGAAUACCGAUGGCGAAGGCAGCCAUCUGGGCCUAAUACUGACACUGAGGUGCGAAAGCAUGGGGAGCAAACAGGAUUAGAUACCCUGGUAGUCCAUGCCGUAAACGAUGUCUACUAGCCGUUGGGGUCUUUUGAGGCUUUAGUGGGCAGCUAACGCGAUAAGUAGACGUGGGGAGUACGGUCGCAGACUAAAACUCAAUGAAUUGACGGGGCCCGCACAGCGGUGGAGCAUGUGUUAAUUCGAUGCAACGCGAGAACUUACUGGUCUUGACAUAGUAAGAACUUAGAAGAUGGAUUGUGCUUCGGGA
rnacentral:rRNA from 1 species